rnacentral:rRNA from 1 species
UACGUAGGGGGCAAGCGUUGUCCGGAAUCAUUGGGCGUAAAGAGCGUGUAGGCGGCCCGAUAAGUCCGUUCUGAAAGUCCAGGGCUCAACCCUGGGAUGCGGAUGGAUACUGUCGAGCUCGAGUCCGGAAGAGGCGAGUGGAAUUCCUGGUGUAGCGGUGAAAUGCGCAGAUAUCAGGAGGAACACCAAUGGCGAAGGCAGCUCGCUGGGACGUGACUGACGCUGAGACGCGAAAGCGUGGGGAGCAAACAGG